UUAAGUGAAUAAGGGCGCACGGUGGAUGCCUUGGCACUAGGAGCCGAUGAAGGACGGGACUAACACCGAUAUGCUUUGGGGAGCUGUACGUAAGCUAUGAUCCAGAGAUUUCCGAAUGGGGGAACCCAACAUCUUUAAUAGGAUGUUACGAUUGUGUGAAUACAUAGCACAUUCGAGGUAGACGCAGAGAACUGAAACAUCUAAGUACCUGCAGGAAGAGAAAGAAAAUUCGAUUCCCUGAGUAGCGGCGAGCGAAACGGGAAAAGCCCAAACCAGCAAGCUUGCUUGUUGGGGUUGUAGGACUCCAAUAUGGUAGUUCUUUCAGAUAGUCGAAUGACUUGGAAAAGUCAGUCAAAGAGGGUAAAAACCCCGUAGACGAAAUGUGGAAGACACCUAGGAGGAUCCUGAGUACGGCGGAACACGAGAAAUUCCGUCGGAAUCCGGGAGGACCAUCUCCCAAGGCUAAAUACUCCCUAGUGACCGAUAGUGAACCAGUACCGUGAGGGAAAGGUGAAAAGCACCCCGGAAGGGGAGUGAAAUAGAACCUGAAACCGUGUGCCUACAACAAGUCAAAGCCCGUUAAUGGGUGAUGGCGUGCCUUUUGUAGAAUGAACCGGCGAGUUACGAUUGCAUGCGAGGUUAAGUUGAAGAGACGGAGCCGCAGCGAAAGCGAGUCUGAAUAGGGCGUUUGAGUAUGUAGUCGUAGACCCGAAACCAUGUGAUCUACCCAUGUCCAGGUUGAAGGUGCGGUAAAACGCACUGGAGGACCGAACCCACGUACGUUGAAAAGUGCGGGGAUGAGGUGUGGGUAGCGGAGAAAUUCCAAACGAACUUGGAGAUAGCUGGUUCUCUCCGAAAUAGCUUUAGGGCUAGCCUCGGAAUUGAGAAUGAUGGAGGUAGAGCACUGUUUGGACUAGGGGCCCAUCUCGGGUUACCGAAUUCAGAUAAACUCCGAAUGCCAUUCAUUCAUAUCCGGGAGUCAGACUGUGAGUGAUAAGAUCCAUAGUCGAAAGGGAAACAGCCCAGACCACCAGCUAAGGUCCCAAAAUAUAUGUUAAGUGGAAAAGGAUGUGGGGUUGCACAGACAACUAGGAUGUUGGCUUAGAAGCAGCCAUCAUUUAAAGAGUGCGUAAUAGCUCACUAGUCGAGUGACCCUGCGCCGAAAAUGUACCGGGGCUAAACAUAUUACCGAAGCUGUGGAGUACACCUUUAGGUGUAUUGGUAGGAGAGCGUUCUAAGGGCGUUGAAGGCAGAUCGUGAGGACUGCUGGAGCGCUUAGAAGUGAGAAUGCCGGUAUGAGUAGCGAAAGACAGGUGAGAAUCCUGUCCACCGAAUGACUAAGGUUUCCUGGGGAAGGCUCGUCCGCCCAGGGUUAGUCGGGACCUAAGCCGAGGCCGACAGGCGUAGGCGAUGGAUAACAGGUUGAUAUUCCUGUACCCGUUGUUUUUGUUUGAGCAAUGGAGGGACGCAGGAGGCUAAGGAAUGCAGACGAUCGGAAAUGUCUGUCCAAGCAGUAAGUCUGAAGAGGAGUCAAAUGCUUCUUUUCUUAAGGACAAGCUGUGAUGGGGAGGGAAAUAAUAGUACCGAAGUUCCUGAUGUCACACUGCCGAGAAAAGCUUCUAGUGAGAAAACAGCGGCCCGUACCGCAAACCGACACAGGUAGUCGAGGAGAGAAUCCUAAGGUGAGCGAGAGAACUCUCGUUAAGGAACUCGGCAAAAUGACCCCGUAACUUCGGGAGAAGGGGUGCUGAUCAUACGAUCAGCCGCAGUGAAUAGGCCCAAGCGACUGUUUAUCAAAAACACAGGUCUCUGCAAAAUCGUAAGAUGAAGUAUAGGGGCUGACGCCUGCCCGGUGCUGGAAGGUUAAGAGGAGUGCUUAGCGCAAGCGAAGGUACGAAUUGAAGCCCCAGUAAACGGCGGCCGUAACUAUAACGGUCCUAAGGUAGCGAAAUUCCUUGUCGGGUAAGUUCCGACCCGCACGAAAGGCGUAACGAUUUGGGCACUGUCUCAACGAGAGACUCGGUGAAAUUUUAGUACCUGUGAAGAUGCAGGUUACCCGCGACAGGACGGAAAGACCCCAUGGAGCUUUACUGUAGUUUGAUAUUGAGUGUCUGUACCGCAUGUACAGGAUAGGUAGGAGCCGUAGAAAUCGGAACGCUAGUUUCGAUGGAGGCGCUGGUGGGAUACUACCCCUGCGUUAUGGCCACUCUAACCCGCACCACUAAUCGUGGUGGGAGACAGUGUCAGAUGGGCAGUUUGACUGGGGCGGUCGCCUCCUAAAAGGUAACGGAGGCGCCCAAAGGUUCCCUCAGAAUGGUUGGAAAUCAUUCGAAGAGUGUAAAGGCAGAAGGGAGCUUGACUGCGAGACCAACAAGUCGAGCAGGGACGAAAGUCGGGCUUAGUGAUCCGGUGGUUCCGCAUGGAAGGGCCAUCGCUCAACGGAUAAAAGCUACCCUGGGGAUAACAGGCUUAUCUCCCCCAAGAGUCCACAUCGACGGGGAGGUUUGGCACCUCGAUGUCGGCUCGUCGCAUCCUGGGGCUGUAGUCGGUCCCAAGGGUUGGGCUGUUCGCCCAUUAAAGCGGCACGCGAGCUGGGUUCAGAACGUCGUGAGACAGUUCGGUCCCUAUCCGUCGCGGGCGUUGGAAAUUUGAGAGGAGCUGUCCUUAGUACGAGAGGACCGGGAUGGACUUACCGCUGGUGUACCAGUUGUUCUGCCAAGGGCAUUGCUGGGUAGCUAUGUAGGGAAGGGAUAAACGCUGAAAGCAUCUAAGUGUGAAGCCCACCUCAAGAUGAGAUUUCCCAUUUCUUUAAGAAAGUAAGAUCCCUGAGAGAUGAUCAGGUAGAUAGGUCAGGAGUGGAAGUACAGUGAUGUAUGAAGCGGACUGAUACUAAUCGAUCGAGGACUUAACCAA
rnacentral:rRNA from 1 species